AGAAAAGACAACAGCCAACCAAUGGAGGCCAAAUGGGAGGAAAGGAGGUGACUGAUAGCUCAACGGCCCAAUCCCUUCAAAGACUGGCCUCCUGGUUUUUGACCUUUGCCUGUUCCGACCCUGUACCCGCCCGCCUUACCUCUCUUCCUGUCCCUGAGCCUGCCUGCCAUCCUGUACCUUUGCUCUACCCUGGAUUGUCAACCCCUGCCUGCCUUGACCGGUCUGUUCCUGCCCCUGUUGCUACAAUAAACAUUGUUACUUCGACA